GCCGACGUAGCUCAGCGGUAGAGCAACGCUUUUGUAAAGCGAAGGUCAGUGGUUCAAUCCCACUCGUCGGCUCCC
rnacentral:tRNA from 3 species